rnacentral:rRNA from 1 species
GACGAACGCUGGCGGCGUGCUUAACACAUGCAAGUCGAACGCUGAAGCUCAGCUUGCUGGGUGGAUGAGUGGCGAACGGGUGAGUAACACGUGAGUAACCUGCCCUCUUCUUUGGGAUAACGCCCGGAAACGGGUGCUAAUACUGGAUAUUCACUGAUUCUCGCAUGGGGGUUGGUGGAAAGGUUUUUUCUGGUGGGGGAUGGGCUCGCGGCCUAUCAGCUUGUUGGUGGGGUGAUGGCCUACCAAGGCUUUGACGGGUAGCCGGCCUGAGAGGGUGACCGGUCACAUUGGGACUGAGAUACGGCCCAGACUCCUACGGGAGGCAGCAGUGGGGAAUAUUGCACAAUGGGCGAAAGCCGGAUGCAGCGACGCCGCGUGAGGGAUGGAGGCCUGCGGGUUGUAAACCUCUUUCGCUCAUGGUCAAGCCGCAGCUUUGGGUUGUGGUGAGGGUAGUGGGUAAAGAAGCGCCGGCUAACUACGUG